rnacentral:tRNA from 1 species
AGAAAGUUAGUCUAACCAAGACAGUUGAUUUCGACUCAACAGAUUAUAGUGACCAACCUAUAACUUUCUU